CGGGGUAAUUGUUUUAUGCAAACAAAAAAGUACAUUGGUGACAUGCUCGUACAUAACUGGCACAGUCAGUGUGUGCAGGGUGGGACCAAUUCCACUCCACACAAGUGUUUGCUGGUGCAUCCCCAGCCACGGACACAUUUGUUGGAUAGCCUUUUUGGAUGCCAGUUUACUUUGGUCAGCUGGUAUGGGUUGGUGCAGAUGCUGUUGAAGUCACUACAGGUCUGCUCUGUGUCUGUAUGCAUGGGUGGAAUUUCAGAGAAUGGAAGUAAACCUGCCAAAAGCACUUUCCAAUCUGAGUUAGUCAUUUUUGGAAGGGUGAAUAGAAGUUCCCUCCACACUCAGCAUCAUGGCACAAGCAUGAGUUCGUGCCUUGCUGCUACAUUUAAAUGGCUGCAAAGGUAAAUACGUCUGUUACUGCAUACAUCCAUAAUGCACAUAUGACAGCACGCAGUUGGAAAACACAAAGAGAGGUAACAACAAACAAGAAAAGACAUCUCCGAGCUCCUAAACCCAGGCACUCUGCUCCUCUUUGAUCUCCAUGGCUCAGGCUGUAGCUUUUCAGGACAUCUGUAGAUUAAAACUGCUUCUAAAAGUACUUCAGGAUCCACCAAGGAUUUAUUUUCUGGCAGACUGUUAUGUCGUUGCUACCAGAGACUAAUAAAAAUAUUGGAAAUGUGUAACAAUUUGGUAAUUGACUGAUUUGCUACUGGUAUUUGAGUUGCUUGACCACACUUCCAGAUUAGAAAUGCACUUUUCCUCCAGAUAAUUUAUAUUUGUAUUCGCAGUCUGGGGAAAUGCCGCUGAUUCCUGCAGCAGUAAAUCAGGCACAUUCACCCUGCCAAUAAACUUAGACAAUGUUUACGUGC
ensembl:lncRNA